CAAGUCGAGCGGUAACAUGAGAGCUUGCUCUCGAUGACGAGUGGCGCACGGGUGCGUAACGCGUAUGCAACCUACCCUUAACUGGAGAAUAGCCCAGAGAAAUUUGGAUUAAUGCUCCAUAACAUUAUGAAUUCGCAUGUUCUUCUAUUUAAAGCUCCGGCGGUUAAAGAUGGGGAUGCGGGCUAUUAGUUAGUUGGUGAGGUAACGGCUCACCAAGACUACGAUGUCUAGGGGGUCUUAAAGGAUGGUCCCCCACACUGGUACUGAGACACGGACCAGACUCCUACGGGAGGCAGCAGUGAGGAAUAUUGGUCAAUGGACGAAAGUCUGAACCAGCCAUGCCGCGUGAAGGAUGAAGGCCCUCUGGGUCGUAAACUUCUUUUAUAUGGGAAUAAACCCUCGGACGUGUCUGAGGCUGAAUGUACCAUACGAAUAAGCACCGGCUAACUCCGUGCCAGCAGCCGCGGUAAUACGGAGGGUGCAAGCGUUAUCCGGAUUUAUUGGGUUUAAAGGGUACGUAGGUGGGAUUGUAAGUCAGUGGUGAAAUCUUUCGGCUCAACCGAAAAACUGCCAUUGAUACUGCAAUUCUUGAGUAUACUCGAGGAAGGCGGAAUGUGUCAUGUAGCGGUGAAAUGCAUAGAUAUGACACAGAACACCGAUAGCGAAGGCAGCUUACCAGAUUAUAACUGACACUGAGGGACGAAAGCGUGGGGAGCGAACAGGAUUAGAUACCCUGGUAGUCCACGCCGUAAACGAUGAUCACUAGACAUUGGCGAUAUACUGUCGGUGUCAAAGCGAAAGUAUUAAGUGGUCCACCUGGGGAGUACGGUCGCAAGACUGAAACUCAAAGGAAUUGACGGGGGCCCGCACAAGCGGUGGAGCAUGUGGUUUAAUUCGAUUAUACGCGAGGAACCUUACCUGGGCUUAAAUGCGCAGAACGACAGACUGGGAAACCAGUCCUUCUUCGGACGGUCUGCAAGGUGCUGCAUGGUUGUCGUCAGCUCGUGCCGUGAGGUGUCGGGUUAAGUCCCAUAACGAGCGCAACCCCUAUCGUUAGUUGCUAGCACAUAACCGGGGACUAUAAGGGGACAAACCUCUAUUCGAGGUGGGAAGGUGGGGAUGAUGUCAAGUCAGUAUGGCCCUUACGUCCAGGGCUGCACACGUGCUACAAUGCCCGGUUCAAUAGGAAGCAAUAUCGCGAGGUGGAGCAAAUCCCUAAAACCGGGCCCAGUUCGGAUUGGAGUCUGCAACUCGACUCCAUGAAGUCGGAAUCGCUAGUAACGGCGUAUCAGCAAUGACGCCGUGAAUACGUUCCCGGGCCUUGUACACACCGCCCGUCAAGUCAUGAAAGCCGGUUUUGCCCAAAGUGCGUGAGCUAACCUUCGGGAAGCAG
rnacentral:rRNA from 1 species